UUUUACCCUACUGAUGCC
rnacentral:snRNA from 1 species